GCAAUGGUGAUAUAGUGGUGAGCAUAGCUGUCUUCCAAACAAUUGGCCUGGAUUCGAUUCCUGGCCAUCGCA
rnacentral:tRNA from 1 species